rnacentral:lncRNA from 1 species
UCCUGCCUCAGCCUCUCCAGUAGCUGGGACUACAGGUACGCACCACCAUGCCUGGCUAAUUUUUAAAACUUUUUGUAGAGACAGGGUCUGACUAUGUUAUCCAGGUUGGGUCUCAAACUCCUGGCCUCAAGUGACCCACCCGACUCAACCUUCCAAAGCAUUGAGAUGACAGGGUCAACCUUUUAAUUGAGGUAAAGUUUAUAUUCAAGGUACAGUUUACAUACAAUUACACGCUCUAAUUUUAAGCAGUGGUGCAAUCUCGGCUUACCUUGGCCUCCUGGGUUCAAGUGAUUCUCCUGCCUCAUUCAGCCUCCCAAGUAGCUGGGAUUACAGGUGGAUAUGGCAGAUUUGCAAAUUAAGAAGAUCACUGGUGGGCCAGAUGCAGUGGCUCAUGCCUGUAAUCCCAGCAGUUUGGGAGGCCAAGGUAGGUGGAUCAUCUGAGAUCAGGAGUUUGAGACCAGCCUGGCCAACAUGGCAAAACCCUCUGACUAUUAAAAAUAUAAAAAUUAGCAGGGCGUGGUGGUGGGCACCUGUAAUCCCAGCUACUUGGGAGGCUGAGGCAGGAGAAUUGCUUGAAC